rnacentral:rRNA from 1 species
CAGUCGCCGCGGGAAUACGUAGGGUGCAAGCGUUAAUCGGAAUUACUGGGCGUAAAGCGUGCGCAGGCGGUCCGCUAAGACAGAUGUGAAAUCCCCGGGCUUAACCUGGGAACUGCAUUUGUGACUGGCAAGCUAGAGUAUGGCAGAGGGGGGUGGAAUUCCGCGUGUAGCAGUGAAAUGCGUAGAUAUGCGGAGGAACACCGAUGGCGAAGGCAGCCCCCUGGGCCAAUACUGACGCUCAUGCACGAAAGCGUGGGGAGCAAACAGGAUUAGAUACCCCAGUAGUCCCUGUCUCUUAUAC